rnacentral:rRNA from 1 species
CGAUGCGAUCAUACCAGCACUAACGCACCGGAUCCCAUUAGAACUCCGAAGUUAAGCGUGCUUGGGCGAGAAUAGUACUAGGAUGGGUCUCCGAGUCACAUUGC